UACGAAGGGGGCUAGCGUUGCUCGGAAUCACUGGGCGUAAAAGGUGCGUAGGCGGGUCUUUAAGUCAGGGGUGAAAUCCGUGGAGCUCAACUCCAGAACUGCCUUUGAUACUGAGGAUCUUGAGUUCGGGAGAGGUGAGUGGAACUGCGAGUGUAGAGGUGAAAUUCGUAGAUAUUCGCAAGAACACCAGUGGCGAAGGCGGACUCACUGG
rnacentral:rRNA from 1 species